AUAUAUCUGAGUGUACAAUCUUCUUCUUGAUGAGUCAUUCUUGUAUUUUUCUUUUUUUUAAAUAUGUCUACUUUACACGCUGUAUCAGAGUGUACAUGUGUACAUUAUCAUCAAAUAUGUUAAGCCAUAUUUGUUAUCUUUUUGAAAUAUCCACCAUACACAGUUUCAUGUGGACAACUAUAUUAGAGUGCGUACGUGUACAAGAUAUAUAUGAAUGUACAAUCUUCUUCUUGACUAGCCAUUUUGUUUUUUUU
rnacentral:lncRNA from 1 species